rnacentral:rRNA from 1 species
AGCAGCCGCGGUAAUACGUAGGGAGCGAGCGUUGUCCGGAUUUACUGGGUGUAAAGGGUGCGCAGGCGGCUCUGCAAGUCAGGCGUGAAAGCUAGGGGCUCAACCCCUAAACUGCGCUUGAAACUGUGGAGCUUGAGUGAAGUAGAGGCAGGCGGAAUUCCCGGUGUAGCGGUGAAAUGCGUAGAGAUCGGGAGGAACACCAGUGGCGAAGGCGGCUUGCUGGGCUUUAACUGACGCUCAGGCACGAAAGCAUGGGUAGCAAACAGGAUUAGAUACCCUGGUAGUCCAUGCCGUAAACGAUGAUUACUAGGUGUGGGGGGUCUGACCCCCCUCCGUGCCGGAGUUAACACAAUAAGUAAUCCACCUGGGGAGUACGGCCGCAAGGUUGAAACUCAAAGGAAUUGACGGGGGCCCGCACAAGCAGUGGAGUAUGUGGUUUAAUUCGAAGCAACGCGAAGAACCUUACCAGGUCUUGACAUCCCUCUGACCGCCCUAGAGACAGGGUUUCCCUUCGGGGCAGAGGUGACAGGUGGUGCAUGGUUGUCGUCAGCUCGUGUCGUGAGAUGUUGGGUUAAGUCCCGCAACGAGCGCAACCCUUGUCAUUAGUUGCUACGGUAAUGAGCACUCUAAUGAGACUGCCGUUGACAAAACGGAGGAAGGUGGGGACGACGUCAAAUCAUCAUGCCCCUUAUGACCCGGGCUACACACGUACUACAAUGGCCAUUAACAGAGAGAAGCAAGAUCGCGAGAUGGAGCCAAACUCCAAAAAUGGUCCCAGUUCGGAUUGCAGGCUGAAACUCGCCUGCAUGAAGUUGGAAUUGCUAGUAAUCGC